rnacentral:rRNA from 1 species
CCCUUAGAUGUUCUGGGCCGCACGCGCGCUACACUGAUUCAUGCAACGAGUUUUGUCCUUGGCUGAAAGGCCUGGGUAAUCUUUGAACGUGAAUCGUACUGGGGAUAGAUGAUUGCAAUUAUUCAUCUUCAACGAGGAAUUCCUAGUAAACGCAAGUCAUCAGCUUGCAUUGAUUACGUCCCUGCCCUUUGUACACACCGCCCGUCGCACCUACCGAUUGAAUGGUCCGGUGAAAUCUUCGGAUCUGAGAGAUGUUGGAUUAAUUUCUGACGCCUUUUGGAAAAGUCGCUUAAACCUUAUCAUUUAGAGGAAGGUGAAGUCGUAACA